rnacentral:rRNA from 1 species
CGAGAGCCUGACGGAGCAACGCCGCGUGAGGGAGGAAGGCCUGUGGGUUGUAAACCUCUUUUCUCAAGGAAGAAGUUCUGACGGUACUUGAGGAAUCAGCAUCGGCUAACUCCGUGCCAGCAGCCGCGGUAAGACGGAGGAUGCAAGCGUUAUCCGGAAUUAUUGGGCGUAAAGCGUCCGUAGGCGGUUUGUAAAGUCUGCUGUCAAAGCUCACAGCUCAACUGUGAAUCGGCAGUGGAAACUAACAGACUAGAGAGUGGUAGGGGUAGAGGGAAUUCCUAGUGUAGCGGUGAAAUGCGUAGAUAUUAGGAAGAACACCAGUGGCGAAGGCGCUCUACUGGGCCAUUACUGACGCUGAUGGACGAAAGCU